UACGAAGGUUGCAAGUGUUUCCCGGAAUUAUUGGGCGUAAAGCGUCAGCAAGUGGUUUUGUAAGUUGGCUGUUAAAUCUGAAGGCUUAACCUUCAGACCGCGGUCAAUACUGCAAGACUUGAGGAUGGGAGAGGUAGUUGGAAUUCCCGGUGUAGCAGUGAAAUGCGUUGAUAUCGGGGAGAACGCCAUUUGCGAAGGCUAACUACUGGUCCACUCCUGACACCCAGUGACGAAAGCGUGGGUAGCGAACGGGAUUAGAUACCCCGGUAGUCCACGCCGUAAACGAUGGAUACUAGGUCUUGGAAGUUUCGACCCUUUCAGGACCGUAGCUAACGCGUUAAGUAUCUCGCCUGGGAAGUACGACCGCAAGGUUGGAACUCAAAGGAAUUGGCGGGAGCCCGCACAAGCGGUGGAGCAUGUGGUUUAAUUCGUCACUAAGCGAAGAACCUUACCAAGGCUUGAAAUCUACGGAAUACCUAAGAAAUUAGGUAGUGCCUUCGGGAACCGUAGACCAGGUGCUGCAUGGUCGUCGUCAGCUCGUGCUGUGAAGUGUUGGGUUAAGUCCCGCAACGAGCGCAACCCUUUUCGAAUGUUGGAUUUUCAUUCGACACUGCCCCGGAUAACGGGGAGGAAGGCGGGGAUGACGUCAGAUCAGCAUGGCCCUCUGAUGCCUUGGGCGACACACGUGCUACAAUGGCCAGUACAAUGGGGCGCUUAAGUGUAAACUGAAGCAAAUCCCAUCAAAAUUGGUCCCAGUUCGGAUUGAGGUCUGCAAUUCGACCUCAUGAAGUCGGAAUCGCUAGUAAUCACAGGUCAGCCACACUGUGGUGAAUACGUUCUCGGGCUU
rnacentral:rRNA from 1 species